CGGACGGGUGAGUAACGCGUGGGGAACCUGCCCUGUACCGGGGGAUAGCAGCCGGAAACGGCUGAUAAUACCGCAUAAGCGCACGAAUGUCGCAUGACAUGGUGUGAAAAACUCCGGUGGUAUAGGAUGGACCCGCGUCUGAUUAGCCGGUUGGUGGGGUAAAAGCCUACCAAAGCGAAGAUCAGUAGCCGAGUUGAGAGACUGACCGGCCACAUUGGGACUGAGACACGGCCCAGACUCCUACGGGAGGCAGCAGUG
rnacentral:rRNA from 1 species